UCAGGGGAAGUUCCUUGUAGAAUCUAGGAAACGCAAACACACACACAAUCGUGGAUACCAGGGCACGCUGGCUCUCUCUCUCACACACACAUUCACACGUGCACACAGGCGCUCUCAUGCACGUGUGUGCACAUGAGUGGAAAGGAAAGUGGACCCCAAUGGGGCAGAUCAGAAAGUUCCAACUUUUGAGAGCAGCGUUCCUGCUCCAAGCCCUGAGGUGGCUUAAUGAGUUUCCCAGGGUGGCCUAAAAUGAUUAAUUAAGCAGACAGCUCCUCACCCCCCCCCCAAACAACGGAAACCCAGUAACGGUCUGUUUGGGGAGGGAGCAGCAGGGGCCCCCGACUCCAGGGGUGGUUGGGGACGUGGUGUAAGAGCCAGGAGCCCCAGAUAAGGGAUGAUAGCAACGGCCUGUAACGGCCACUGAGGCUCACCCCGCCCAAGCGCCAGCUAAAGGGCCUCCCUCUGCUCCUGGCCUCUGGCCUCCUGCCCUGUCCAGGCGCUCCCCAGCCCAAGGGGACCCUUGGCAAGAUGACAGGCAUAGUUGUCUCUGGCCUCCCUCCCAUUUAGGAGCCCUCCCCUUGCCCAUUUCUACUGUGCACCAUGCCUGCGCUCGUAGCUGAACACUAGGAAGGGAUUCUAGAGCCUGCCUGGGUGUCCAGAGCCACAGCAUGGAAGGGAAGGGAACGGGAAGAAGGUGGCAGGGGUCCUUGGGGGCUUCUCUCUCAGAUCACCCACGUAGUGGGGAACGUACUGUGUCCUUCAGAGCUGUCAGGGGCCCCCAGAGCCCAGCAUUAGCCAUUCACCGACUCAGCAAACAGACUGAUUACUUCCAGUGUUCAAGAUACCGUGGUGAGCAAUGACAAGAACACGGCCUUCCUUCCCAGACAGGCACGUUCCCUGGGGCCUGGGACAAGAGCAGGACAAAGGUGUCUCUGGCAUAAGGAACACCCAGCUGAGGGUUUGCAGUCUGUCCUGGGCCUUGGAAACAGGCCUUGCGAAGGGGAUAGGGGCACUGAAGCAGGCCCAGGCCCAGCCAGCCUGCAGGUUGGGAGGAGAUGGAGGCGGAGGUAUGGAUCGGGCGGAGCCAGGAACAAUGUUUUCUUUCUCAAAUGCUCCGGGUGCUUGGGUUGGAUUUCCAGCCUUGUGUUUACAGCAUCUGCAGCCGCGUCCCCAUGACCGCGUCUGUCUGUACCUGUGUCUUUCUCUACAGGUGUCUGUCUGUGUUUGCGUGUUCUAUCUGAGUGUCUGAUCACACCUGUGGGCGUUCGUCUCUCCGUGUCUGGAGGAGGCCUUCUGAGAAAAAUGGCUCUGGCUUCCACUGGUGUGAGCUCUUCCACCUCAAAACAUGGCUAAAAUAAACCUUGCUGAAAAAGCUUUAA